UACGGGGGGAGCAAGCGUUGUUCGGAUUUACUGGGCGUAAAGGGCGCGUAGGCGGCCACCGCAAGUCAGUGUGAAAUCUCUGGGCUUAACCCAGAAAGGUCAACUGAUACUGCGGGGCUAGAGUGCAGAAGGGGCAACUGGAAUUCUCGGUGUAGCGGUGAAAUGCGUAGAUAUCGAGAGGAACACCUGCGGCGAAGGCGGGUUGCUGGGCUGACACUGACGCUGAAGCGCGAAAGCUAGGGGAGCGAACGGG
rnacentral:rRNA from 1 species